rnacentral:rRNA from 1 species
UAGAUUGCGGAUCCGCGGCCGCAGAGUUUGAUCAUGGCUCAGAUUGAACGCUAGCGGGAUGCCUUACACAUGCAAGUCGAACGGCAGCGGGAAGAAAGCUUGCUUUCUUUGCCGGCGAGUGGCGAACGGGUGAGUAAUGUAUCGGAACGUGCCCAGUAGCGGGGGAUAACUGGCCGAAAGGUCAGCUAAUACCGCAUACGCCCUACGGGGGAAAGGGGGGGACUCUUCGGAGCCUCUCACUAUUGGAGCGGCCGAUAUCGGAUUAGCUAGUUGGUGGGGUAAUGGCUCACCAAGGCAACGAUCCGUAGCUGGUUUGAGAGGACGACCAGCCACACUGGGACUGAGACACGGCCCAGACUCCUACGGGAGGCAGCAGUGGGGAAUUUUGGACAAUGGGGGGAACCCUGAUCCAGCCAUCCCGCGUGUGCGAUGAAGGCCUUCGGGUUGUAAAGCACUUUUGUCAGGGAAGAAAAGGUUCUGGCUAAUAUCCGGAACUGAUGACGGUACCUGAAGAAUAAGCACCGGCUAACUACGUGCCAGCAGCCGCGGUAAUACGUAGGGUGCAAGCGUUAAUCGGAAUUACUGGGCGUAAAGCGUGCGCAGGCGGUUUCGGAAAGAAAGGAUGUGAAAUCCCAGGGCU